rnacentral:tRNA from 1 species
GCUUGUGUGGUCUAGUGGUAUGACGUGUCCUUCACACUUCGCAAGAAGUCGGACAAGGUCCGGGGUUCGAUCCCCCGCGCGAGUA